rnacentral:rRNA from 1 species
CAAUCCUACGGGUGUCAGCAGUAGGUACUCUUCUUCACUUUCCUAAAUUCUGACCGAGCAACGCCGCGUGAGUGAAGAAGGUUUUCGGAUCGUAAAACUCUGUUGGUAGAGAAGAACGUUGGUGAGAGUGGAAAGCUCAUCAAGUGACGGUAACUACCCAGAAAGGGACGGCUAACUACGUGCCAGCAGCCGCGGUAAUACGUAGGUCCCGAGCGUUGUCCGGAUUUAUUGGGCGUAAAGCGAGCGCAGGUGGUUUAUUAAGUCUGGUGUAAAAGGCAGUGGCUCAACCAUUGUAUGCAUUGGAA